rnacentral:rRNA from 1 species
UAACACAUGCAAGUCGAACGAAGUAGCAAUACUUAGUGGCAGACGGGUGAGUAACAUGUAGGUAUCUACCCUUUGGCCUGGAAUAACACGAGGAAACUUGUGCUAAUACCGGAUAAGUCUUUACGGAGAAAGCUUUAUGCACCAUUGGAUGAGCCUGCACUUGAUUAGUUUGUUGGUGGGGUAAUGGCCUACCAAGACUGUGAUCAAUAGCUGAUUUGAGAGGAUGAUCAGCCACAUUGGGACUGAGACACGGCCCAAACUCCUACGGGAGGCAGCAGUGGGGAAUCUUGCACAAUGGAGGAAACUCUGAUGCAGCGAUGCCGCGUGAGUGAAGAAGGCCUUUGGGUUGUAAAGCUCUUUCGUCGGGGAAGAAAAUGACUGUACCCGAAUAAGAAGGUCCGGCUAACUUCGUGCCAGCAGCCGCGGUAAUACGAAGGGACCUAGCGUAGUUCGGAAUUACUGGGCUUAAAGAGUUCGUAGGUGGUUGAAAAAGUUAGUGGUGAAAUCCCAGAGCUUAACUCUGGAACUGCCAUUAAAACUUUUCAGCUAGAGUAUGAUAGAGGAAAGCAGAAUUUCUAGUGUAGAGGUGAAAUUCGUAGAUAUUAGAAAGAAUACCAAUUGCGAAGGCAGCUUUCUGGAUCAUUACUGACACUGAGGAACGAAAGC